rnacentral:rRNA from 1 species
GACGAACGCUGGCGGCGUGCUUAACACAUGCAAGUCGAACGGAGUGGCGAACGGGUGAGUAACACGUGGGUGAUCUGCCUUGCACUUCGGGAUAAGCUUGGGAAACUGGGUCUAAUACCGGAUAGUGCAAGAUGAGCUCGCGGCCUAUCAGCUUGUUGGUGGGGUAAUGGCCUACCAAGGCGUCGACGGGUAGCCGGCCUGAGAGGGUGUACGGCCACAUUGGGACUACGAGAGGGCGCAGACUCGUACGGGGCGCAGCAGGGGGGAAUAUGGCACAAUGGGCGGAAGCGUGAUGCAGCGACGCCGGGGGGGGGAUGAAGGCUUUCGGGUUGUAAACUCCUUGAGACAGGGACGCGUUACCUGUAUAAGAAGCACCGGCUAACUACGUGCCAGCAGCCGCGGUAAUAC